GGUAAAUUCUGCCCUAUGGUUUUUCUAAAUGGCUGCAGUAUUUUGACUGUGCAAAGGUAGCAUAGUAAUUAGUUUCUUAAUUAGAAGCUGGAAUGAAUGGAUUAAUGAGAAAGAUAUUUUAUUAAUUUCAUUGUUAUAAAUUAAAAUUUAAGUGAAAAUGCUUAAUUAUUUUCUAGGGACGAUAAGACCCUAUAGAACUUUAUAUUAUAAUAUUUAAUCUAUUUUUAUUAAGAAUAUUGAAUUAAAUAAUAGUAAUAAUUUGCUGGGGUGGUAAAUAAAUUUUAACUUUAUUUUUAAAUUUCAAUAAUUUAUGUAAAUUUUGAUCCUUAUGGAAAUUAAGAUUUAGUUACCUUAGGGAUAACAGCGUAAUUUAAGUGGAGAGUUCAUAUCUAUACUUUAUUUUGCGACCUCGAUGUUGAAUUAAGGAAAGGUUGGGAAGAAGAGUUCUCAAAUCUAAGUCUGUUCGACUU
rnacentral:rRNA from 1 species